UACGGGGGGGGCAAGCGUUGUUCGGAAUUACUGGGCGUAAAGGGCUCGUAGGCGGCCAACUAAGUCAGACGUGAAAUCCCUCGGCUUAACCGGGGAACUGCGUCUGAUACUGGAUGGCUUGAGUUCGGGAGAGGGAUGCGGAAUUCCAGGUGUAGCGGUGAAAUGCGUAGAUAUCUGGAGGAACACCGGUGGCGAAGGCGGCGAUCCUGGACCGACACUGACGCUGAGGAGCGAAGCCAGGGGAGCAAACGGG
rnacentral:rRNA from 1 species